UACGUAGGGCGCAAGCGUUGUUCGGAAUUAUUGGGCGUAAAGAGCUCGUAGGCGGUCUGUUACGUCCGCUGUGAAAACCCAGGGCUUAACCCUGGGCUUGCAGUGGAUACGGGCAGACUAGAGGCAGGUAGGGGAGAAUGGAAUUCCCGGUGUAGCGGUGAAAUGCGCAGAUAUCAGGAGGAACACCGGUGGCGAAGGCGCUGCUCUGGGCCGGUACUGACGCUGAGGAGCGAAAGCGUGGGUAGCAAACAGG
rnacentral:rRNA from 1 species